AGACCCGAAACCCGGUGAUCUAGCCAUGGGCAGGUUGAAGGUUGGGUAACACUAACUGGAGGACCGAACCGACUAAUGUUGAAAAAUUAGCGGAUGACCUGUGGCUGGGGGUGAAAGGCCAAUCAAACCGGGAGAUAGCUGGUUCUCCCCGAAAGCUAUUUAGGUAGCGCCUCGUGAAUUCAUCUCCGGGGGUAGAGCACUGUUUCGGCUAGGGGGCCAUCCCGGCUUACCAACCCGAUGCAAACUGCGAAUACCGGAGAAUGUUAUCACGGGAGACACACGGCGGGUGCUAACGUCCGUCGUGAAGAGGGAAACAACCCAGACCGCCAGCUAAGGUCCCAAAGUCAUGGUUAAGUGGGAAACGAUGUGGGAAGGCCCAGACAGCCAGGAUGUUGGCUUAGAAGCAGCCAUCAUUUAAAGAAAGCGUAAUAGCUCACUGGUCGAGUCGGCCUGCGCGGAAGAUGUAACGGGGCUAAACCAUGCACCGAAGCUGCGGCAGCGACGCUUAUGCGUUGUUGGGUAGGGGAGCGUUCUGUAAGCCUGCGAAGGUGGCCUGUGAGGGUUGCUGGAGGUAUCAGAAGUGCGAAUGCUGACAUAAGUAACGAUAAAGCGGGUGAAAAGCCCGCUCGCCGGAAGACCAAGGGUUCCUGUCCAACGUUAAUCGGGGCAGGGUGAGUCGACCCCUAAGGCGAGGCCGAAAGGCGUAGUCGAUGGGAAACGGGUUAAUAUUCCCGUACUUGGUGUUACUGCGAAGGGGGGACGGAGAAGGCUAUGUUGGCCGGGCGACGGUUGUCCCGGUUUAAGCGUGUAGGUGUGUGUUCCAGGUAAAUCCGGUUCACUUUAACACUGAGGCGUGAUGACGAGGCACUACGGUGCUGAAGCAACAAAUGCCCUGCUUCCAGGAAAAGCCUCUAAGCAUCAGGUAACAUCAAAUCGUACCCCAAACCGACACAGGUGGUCAGGUAGAGAAUACCAAGGCGCUUGAGAGAACUCGGGUGAAGGAACUAGGCAAAAUGGUGCCGUAACUUCGGGAGAAGGCACGCUGACAUGUAGGUGAAGUGAUUUACUCAUGGAGCUGAAGUCAGUCGAAGAUACCAGCUGGCUGCAACUGUUUAUUAAAAACACAGCACUGUGCAAACACGAAAGUGGACGUAUACGGUGUGACGCCUGCCCGGUGCCGGAAGGUUAAUUGAUGGGGUCAGCGCAAGCGAAGCUCCUGAUCGAAGCCCCGGUAAACGGCGGCCGUAACUAUAACGGUCCUAAGGUAGCGAAAUUCCUUGUCGGGUAAGUUCCGACCUGCACGAAUGGCGUAAUGAUGGCCAGGCUGUCUCCACCCGAGACUCAGUGAAAUUGAACUCGCUGUGAAGAUGCAGUGUACCCGCGGCAAGACGGAAAGACCCCGUGAACCUUUACUAUAGCUUGACACUGAACAUUGAGCCUUGAUGUGUAGGAUAGGUGGGAGGCUUUGAAGCGUGGACGCCAGUCUGCGUGGAGCCGACCUUGAAAUACCACCCUUUAAUGUUUGAUGUUCUAACGUGGACCCGUGAUCCGGGUUGCGGACAGUGUCUGGUGGGUAGUUUGACUGGGGCGGUCUCCUCCUAAAGAGUAACGGAGGAGCACGAAGGUUGGCUAAUCCUGGUCGGACAUCAGGAGGUUAGUGCAAUGGCAUAAGCCAGCUUGACUGCGAGCGUGACGGCGCGAGCAGGUGCGAAAGCAGGUCAUAGUGAUCCGGUGGUUCUGAAUGGAAGGGCCAUCGCUCAACGGAUAAAAGGUACUCCGGGGAUAACAGGCUGAUACCGCCCAAGAGUUCAUAUCGACGGCGGUGUUUGGCACCUCGAUGUCGGCUCAUCACAUCCUGGGGCUGAAGUAGGUCCCAAGGGUAUGGCUGUUCGCCAUUUAAAGUGGUACGCGAGCUGGGUUUAGAACGUCGUGAGACAGUUCGGUCCCUAUCUGCCGUGGGCGCUGGAGAACUGAGGGGGGCUGCUCCUAGUACGAGAGGACCGGAGUGGACGCAUCACUGGUGUUCGGGUUGUCAUGCCAAUGGCACUGCCCGGUAGCUAAAUGCGGAAGAGAUAAGUGCUGAAAGCAUCUAAGCACGAAACUUGCCCCGAG
rnacentral:rRNA from 1 species